rnacentral:rRNA from 1 species
AUGCAGUCAGCCAAUGGUAUACAGAGGGCCAAGGUGCAAGACUUCAAGGCAUCACCUGAGGCUCGAGCAUUAAAUCAUGAAGGACACAAAAAGGAGAAAGAGAACAUCCCUCCGGUGGUAUGUACGGAGAUCAGUAGGAUACAAGACCUGCUCGAAGCUGUAACCAUGGGAAAAAGUCUGGAACAAAAGUUGCUAAGAGCCCUAGGGAAAUUGCCUGUCUGCUCAACUGUACUUGGCCAACCUAAGGCCACAAGUGUUCUAGAAGCAGUAGAAGCAACUGGCCAGGGGAACACUUACAUUUCUCUAAUGUGGAGGAGCGGUACCAUGAAUUCAUGCAUGUUAGUGGGAAGGCAACCAAUGCACUAG